rnacentral:rRNA from 1 species
UAGGGAAUCUUCCGCAAUGGACGCAAGUCUGACGGAGCAACGCCGCGUGAGUGAAGAAGGAUUUCGGUUCGUAAAACUCUGUUGUUAGAGAAGAACAGCGCAUAGAGUAACUGUUAUGCGUGUGACGGUAUCUAACCAGAAAGCCACGGCUAACUACGUGCCAGCAGCCGCGGUAAUACGUAGGUGGCAAGCGUUGUCCGGAUUUAUUGGGCGUAAAGCGAGCGCAGGCGGUCAAUUAAGUCUGAUGUGAAAGCCCCCGGCUCAACCGGGGAGGGUCAUUGGAAACUGGUUGACUUGAGUGCAGAAGAGGAGAGUGGAAUUCCAUGUGUAGCGGUGAAAUGCGUAGAUAUAUGGAGGGACACCAGUGGCGAAGGCGACUCUCUGGUCUGUAACUGACGCUGAGGCUCGAAAGCGUGGGUAGCAAACAGG